GGCCAGCAAAACAGCUCAGGAGGUGAAGGAGCUUGAAGCUAAGCCGGAUGAGCUGAGCUCAAUCCCCAAAAACCACGGGGCGGAAGGAGAGAGCUGCCUUUCACAUACACCCACCUAUGUACACCCAUAACGCAUGGAAAUCUAAAGACAGGCAGGAAGAUGGACAGGCAGACAGGUACCUCCAGUCAUCCUCCUAGGUGUCCGUAGUUCCACCCGAGAGCCUAACUUCCUCCAUCCCUGCCUGAGCUGGUGGGAAUCCUUUUUAGCUUGUGAAGCAGGUGUAAAAAAAAAACAAACACCAGGGUCUAACUGAGCCCUCUCAACCCCACCCAAGAACCAGAACUAAGAAAUAUACAGCCCAACAGCAGAACCUCCGUGAAGUUUAGAUUCUGAGCCAGGUAUGGGUGGUACAUACCUUAAUCCCAGCACUUGGAAGGCUGAGGCAGGAGAAUCAUGAGUUGGAAGGCCAGGUUGUGCAACUACUGAUCAAGACCCUGUCUCAAAAUACUGCUUGUAAAGGGCUGGAGAUUUAGCUCAGUGGGAGAGCCCCCGCCUGGCAGGAGAGCCGCUGGUGGCCUCCCCAUAUCCCUCCCUCUCCCUAGCAUCCUUCUCUCUCCCUUCCCUCUCUCCCUCCCCCUCCGCAGCCUCAUUCCCCUCCCUCCCUCCUUCCUUCCAGUGCCUGUGGAGCUCCUGUGCAUUGGGAGACAGGGUCACCAGUGCCAUCAACCCUGGGUCGGCUCAUUUUGGUGGAUUUUAUACAAGCCACAGACAUUCAUGACUCUAACCUAUAAUGCAUCAUCAGUGUCUAGAACAUUCUAAAACAGACCAGAAAAUAGAAGACAGGAACAUACAGUUCAGCUUCCAUUCGACUUCACAGAAGUUGCGUGUGUUCUGAGACCUUCAAUUCCCCGGUGCCUCACAGUUACAUAUGAAAGUCUGUUCAGGGGGCCCUCGGGGUGGUGGAUCUCUGUGAGUUUGAGGCCAGCCUGAUUUACAUAGAGAGUUCCAGGACAGCCAUACUGUCUCACAGAUAGAUAGAUAGAUAGAUAGAUAGAUAGAUAGAUAGAUAGAUAGAUAGAUAGAUAUUUUCUAUGAGGUUGGUACCUUACAGGGGUGCAAUUAGAACUGGGUGAGCUGUAGGAAAUAAUAAUUCUUUUCAUUGAGAUGUGGGUAUGGCCGGGCAGACCUGAAGUCCCACUAUCCAGAAGGCUAAGGCUGAACUUGGGUUCAGGAGUUAGAAGCCAGUCAGGGCAAAAACAGCACGACUCCCACAUAAAGU
rnacentral:lncRNA from 1 species